rnacentral:lncRNA from 12 species
UCAGGCACAAGUUCUACAGAGAGCUCAGGCACAUUGAUUUGCAUUUCUGGGUCAGCAUGAUUUCGCUUUCAUUUAACCCUUGUACUGACCCUUGUUUCUCAACACUUUGGCUCUUCCCAUCCUCUGAGAACAAGCAGUGUGCUUCACCUGCAGACGUUUGCUUUUCUAUAGUGAAGAAGGAAUGCGGUCAUAUGAAUUUCAAGGAUAAGAAAGCAAUCUACAUGCAUCCAGCAAAUCUAAAGGACAAAAGAAUUUUUUUCAGUCACUUGAAGCAUGGGAUGAAACGGACUGAGUUGUUACAGAGCAGAACCAAAGGCACGGAGGCAGAUGCAGAUUGGGAGCUGCUCUGA